rnacentral:rRNA from 1 species
UGGGGAAUAUUGGACAAUGGGCGCAAGCCUGAUCCAGCCAUGCCGCGUGAGUGACGAAGGCCUUAGGGUUGUAAAGCUCUUUUAGCGGGGACGAUAAUGACGGUACCCGCAGAAUAAGCCCCGGCUAACUUCGUGCCAACAGCCGCGGUAAUACGAAGGGGGCUAGCGUUGUUCGGAAUUACUGGGCGUAAAGCGCACGUAGGCGGAUGUGCCAGUCAGGGGUGAAAUCCCGAGGCUCAACCUCGGAACUGCCUCCGAUACAGCACGUCUCGAGUCCGGAAGAGGUGAGUGGAAUUCCUAGUGUAGAGGUGAAAUUCGUAGAUAUUAGGAAGAACACCAGUGGCGAAGGCGGCUCACUGGUCCGGUACUGACGCUGAGGUGCGAAAGCGUGGGGAGCAAACAGGAUUAGAUACCCCCGUAGUCCCUGAGCGGGCUGGCAAGGCGCAU